GAGCGCACCCAGCGCUGGGCUGAUCCCAGGGAUGGAUGCUGCUCGUCCAACGGGAUCCGGGCCAGGAGGGGACAUGGCAGCUGGGGAGGGACGGGUGGGAGCGGGAGGGCUUUUAGUGCUGAGCAUCAGUCGCUGAAUGCAAAAGGUGGCCUCGGCAUGUGGUAGGAUGCAAGGGAGGUUUUCUAUAUCCAGUUCAAUGGCCUGUCUAGCCCUGCUGGUGUGUGCCUAAACCGCAGGCGCUGGUCUCGCUGCCGGCGCCUGGAAGGUGAGUUGGGUGUCUAGGGACCUGCUUAGGGGCUGUGCUGGGAGGGUGGAAAGCCCUGGACAGCAGGCCAGGCUGGAGGCGGAUACGGAUACAGCUGGUGAGAAAUGGACCUGGGAGAAGUUGCAUUUUGCAGUUCGAAAGUUGGGAUUUUUCUGAGGUCGCAGUAUAUAAAUCCCUGUGGAUAUAUUUGAGGGCUUGAGGAAGGAGAGGAGAGGAGAGAGCGAGGAGCAGCGCAGUCUUCCCCGCACUGUGUAUUGCCCUGGCUGGUCGGAGCAGGAGGGGAGAGGGGUCCAGCUGCCUUGUUUCAGACAUCCACAAUAAACCCUGCCUGUGUUUCUGCUGCUCUGGGCUACUCCUCAGGCCUCCAGGUAAAUUCUGUACCGAACUUCUGGGUCUGUUAUUUGCAAAAUGCACGUUUGUACGCUCACGUACAUGCCGACAAGCGCGCUGGUACGUGUGGUGGGGAGAUUGCUCUUGUCCAUAUUGCAGCCUUGCUGCCAACUGAGCUCUGUUGCGCUUGGUGCUGUGCAAACACAGAUCCAGCUGUCAGUCCUCGCUGGUGCCGGGGGAAUCUGCUGUUGGUUACGGGCUCCCAGGAUGCUCAUAGCAGCUUGAGAGCCCCUAAGACCUCUGCUGGCUUCUUAACUAGUGUCAAUCCAGGACAGCAACUGAAGCUGCGGUGAUUUUCAUCUGCUCCGGAGUUGAAUCCAUGUCUCUGUCUUGUGGUUCCUGGACUUCAGCAAACAGCCUUCCUUCCACCUCUGGCUGAAGAUCUGAUCCAGCUGCAAGCAGAGAUAAGUGUUAGAGGCAGAGUUAGGCUGAUAUGUGCUGUCAAAAAUCCCCGUUGUGUUCGCAGAGCGCAAAUAACAUGCUUGGCGUUGUACAAAGAUGAAAGUAGCUCCAUCUUUAGCAGUGACCCCCCAGCCAAGGAAGCACAAUGACUUGUCGUUGAGUCUUAGCGGAGAUGGUCUGAGAGAGGCCAGGGUUGCAGAGAAGCGAUAUCUUUUAUUAUAUCAAUAGAUAGAGCGGGGCUGCAGACUUUUGCCUGCUGCCCUGGGAAUCUCCUGUCACCAUCUGCUAAGGAUGUGUUUAAAUUUUGGGGCUAAUCAGCCACGAGAGCAGCUGUGGUGACCUGGAAAUCAGGGCAGGGUGGGGAGACAGAGGAAUGGGGUGCGGUGGAAGAACCUAAUACAUCUUUGCUUUUUAUGUUGCAGUAAGGAUUGGAGUCUUGGAUUGGUCCUGGAUCUCAAGCACCCAUGGCAUGGUGCUGGGACCUCUGCUGUGCCGGGCCUCUCCACUGAUGCAGCUGGUUAGCCUGAUCCAGUUCGUUAGCUCCAUGUGGACACCAUUGUCCUCUUAGGACUGGUGGCUCCCAGGAGACAAGAUAUUGAGGAUACCACCAUCCACGUCAGUGCUGACCAAGCACCAGCAGCUCCUAGCCAUGCAUAUGGUCAGCCUGGGCACUGCUCUGCCAGAGACCGUGGCGUAUAUUGACUGCUCAGCUCUGCCUGGCAGAUGCUGGAUUAGAUUUCUGAGGGUGGAUGUCAUUUGUGGUACGUGGCUUACUGUUUGUGCAUCCACGUGGUCCAGGAUGCACACAAUAUUUAGGGAUGCUUUGGGGAUGCGUUAUCCUUCUUUAAAGCAUAAGACAGACAGAAGACCUAUGAGCAAAGGAGGAGAUGCCAGGAAGCCUUUACCAUUUGACAGCUCAGAAGUGACUUAUCAAAGCCAGCAAAGUAAUCUCCAACUUAGGUGGAUAUUUGCCUUUUUCCUUUAUUUUUAUGAGAAACAUUCUUCUCCACGUUUUCCAAGGCAGGUACAGCCUGAUGUGCAGCAGGCGAAUGCCAUCUACUGGCUGUGGUCCCAUGGCAUGGAGCAAGCAUGCUUCUUCCCCGACUCUGUUCGGGCACUGAGGUAUGGCUUGUAUCCUACUGAGCUGAGACACGUACCUGGCUUCAGGCUGCAUAAAUCCAUCCCUGCUUGCCAGCGCAAAUGAUGUUGUGGACACCCCAUCUUCUUUCCAUCUGUUGGGACUCACCCGUGUGUGCGUGCAUGCUUGGCCGUGCUUCACCAUCAUGGCUCUUCCUCCAAAGGCAGGUAACACCUUUCCAGCUGCACCAUGGCUAGGCCUCCUGUGGCCUCUCCUCUGGUCCCCAGUUUUGGUGUCAAACAUAUCUGGUUAGUGCUGGAAGCAGUGGGAAGGCUGCUUCCAGCGGGAGACUGGAGCAGAGCAAGCUGGUGCAGAGUUGCUGCCGCGGGGCAACCUCGGGGCGCAAGGACCCAGGCUGCGAGUCCCGUACAGAGCCGGGGAGGGCACGAGGGGAAGAGGAGGACUGUGUGUCGCUUCUGAACAGCCCCUGUAACUGCCAUGUGUGCUUCUUCCUUUCGUUUCCCUGAAUCCAAUGCUCAUUUUUGGCAGCAGGAGCUUGUGCAGAUGGGGCCUUCCCACAGUCCUGCAGAUCUUCAGCAAUCCAGGGGCUCUGGAUCUUCCACGCAUGAACCUGUGAUCUAAGUAUUGGCUUGUUCAGAAGUGCUGAUGUUCUCGUUGUUACAGCCAGUCCAGCUGGUUUUCAUACGCUGAUGGCAGUCAAACACUGAGAAACCCGGAGUUUUCUGCGGAGGUUUCAGCGUUGGCCACGGGAGGGCGGGGAGUCCAGCGCAGCCUGGGGGAAUAUCUGUCGCUGCUGGCUGAAAUGGGAGAUGCCCAAAACGGGCUCUAGAGGUCACUUUGCACAAGGAGAUUGCUGGGACCGAGGCUGGAAAGUGUCCCGGUGACCUUCUCCCAGGGGGAGGCAGAGAUGGUACUUUUGGCCCCUGAUACCUCUCAGAAAUUAGGCUGAGAUGCUUUUGCAAAUAAAGGUAAAGGCACCUACCAAAAAUGCUCUGUUGCUGGCCAAAGGCACAGCUCUACUGGGAGGGCAGGGACAAGCUUGCUCUCUUCUUGGGCAACUUGGGAAAGUGGGACUCCACUAGCAGCUAGACUCGAACCUGCCCUGAAUGUGGUGCCGAACUGUGGUGUGCAUGCAGCAGGAUUGCUUGUGCACGCACUUCCUCACCUGCCUUUGCUCUGCACACGUGUCUCUGCUUUCUAGGAGUCUUGCUGAAACUUAAGGCAUUUCACAUGCCUUUUUAUAACGUCAACAGCAUCAAGAGUUGGUUCUGGCAGGGCAUCCCAAAGAGGGGGUGCGGUUUGGACCUGGGGAUGAGAGGGGCCUGAGAUGUCCGUACUCAAACAUCUCCUGUUUCUCCAUCCAUGCCUCUGCUCCCCUACCUCACUAGUUGUCCUUAUGGUGAAGAUGGCCACAAACUCUCUCCAAGAACCUAAAUAUGAAACAUCCGUGGAAGACUGUUCUUUAGGAGGGAUGGAAAGAAAACAAACUCAGGAUAAAUCUGCUCUUUGCUCGUGUCUGUGCUUCACCUCUGAGGAUACGGCAGGAAGAACUGGGGAAGGAGAAGCUCGCCGGCGGAGAAGGCUCAGGCCGCUCCGGUGGGCACCACGCGCGUUGGUGAAGAUGUGCGUCUCCUAAGGGAAAAGGGAGGCAUCUCCUUGCGGUUGCUGUCGGAGAGAAGCUGUGGGGCUAUCCGAACCCUUGGCCUGACCCAGGGGUGCUGGCUGCGUGAGGAGCUCGUCCUCAGAGUCUCCCAAGGUUGUCGUCUGCUGCUUCAGCGACACUCUGAGCUGUGUCCCUGGAGAGCUGAAGCUGGACCCUGCUCCCGGCUGAGCUGUGGACCAGCGAGGCUGUUUCUUCAAGCUGCUUGAGACAGACCCGGAGCCCGAGCUGUUUCCACCUCAGCCUGAGAUGAGAAGAAAAGCUUGAUCCUGCUCAGCUGCAGGGGGAUGGAUGGCUGAGGUGACCCUUUCUCUAUCCCAUCCACUUCCUCUUCCCUGCUUCACUCCUCGACUUGCCCUUUGUUCUGGUUCUUCCUCUCUCCAAGUCUCCUCUCGCUCCUCUGACCUCCACCCCACUCUUGCCGUGUGUGGUGCCCUCCUUCUUCUUCUCCUUCCUUUGGUUCCCCAACAUCCUUCUUUCCAGCCUGAUUCUACCCCCUAAUUCCCACCUGCCACUUGGCUGCAGAAAGCGAGAUCCCACCCUGACGCCGAAGCUACUGCAAACAAUCUCCGCAGCUUGCCAAUAACUGGAGCCAGCGAGGAGGGGAAAUUGGAGCAAACGAGCAAAUGGGCCAUGACAACCAACAUCGUUCAAGAAUGUUGUGUUUUAUAGCUGGUGAUGGGCUAAUAUCUACGGUGAGGGAUCCAGGAAGGUUUUUCUUCUCUGCUUUUAUUGAUACAUAUACACACGUAUAUAUAUAAGGAUACCACUUGCAUAUAUUUUGUUCUGCAGCAAUUCUCACAGUCAGACCCACUUAGCGGCAGAGGGGUAUCAUGGGUCAGCGGCAGAGAAAACAGGUCUUCUCUUUCAUGCCUCUGGGAGCACAGCAAGACAAUGCAAAUGGCUUGAUGGAGGAGAUUCUGCAAAGGUUUUAAUCCACUUAAAAGUAUCCCCCCUGCACUUCAUGCCCGCUCCGACGAGGCUGCAGAUGCCGGGUGGGCUCCUUGGCACGCUGCAUGCGAGGAAGGCUCUGCACCUGCCCGGCUCUCGCCUCCGUCUCUGCUUCGAAGCCAGCGAGCUCUCCGUCACCGGCUGUCUCGCGCUGGAAGGGGUCAGCGGCACAGGGCAGAGGUGGUCGGUCUUUUCAUCCUGGCGCAGUCCGUCGCAUCAGCCAUGGCCCCACCUGACGUUUGUAUGGGCUAGCAUUAAGGUAAAAGCCGCUGUACCUUGUCUCGAGUUCCUCAUUGGGAGAUUUAGCUUGAUGCGAGAGCGCAAGCUGUUCGACAGCAAGGACGGCAUUGGCGAGGAGCUGGAACGGGAGAGGCCACGGGUCGCUUGCAGUUGCGUGCUUUGAUCUGUUUUAAAGAGCUUGGAUUUCUGAUGGUAUGGGGAAGCCCUUGCUGAUGUGCCCUACUUGAAACCACCUGGGAGAAAAGCAAACGCUUUCCUUUAAAAAGCUGCUUCAACCCCUAUUGAUUUAGGCAGAGCCCAUAUAAAGGUGGUUUGCUCUUGUGUUUUAUUAUCUAGUUAUAAACAUUUAUUACUCCUAUUUGCGAGUGAGUGCCUUGGCACGGCAGAUCUUCAAGCGGGGACGGGAAUAUGAUAAAUUUUGCUACUGGUUCCUGCCCUGCUCACUGGAGACCAUCUCUCACUUUGGGAUUCCCAAGCCGUUGACAGCAGCAAUCUGGGUACGGGCCACCCCAGCGAACCCCCCUGACCUUGACAUUCCCGUGCGAAGGGUUAAUAAGGGCUUCGCUCUGCUUCGGCGUUCACAUCUGCUGAUUAAUUCCAGCCAGGUGUCCACAGUCCAGGUCUUAAAACAACAAUUGCUGGAGUGUCUGGGAACACUUAGUUAGGCUUCACUCUGCAAUUCCAAGUAUGGAUAAAUAUUUGCACCUCCGUGGCGGUAGGACACCUUUGAGAUAUGAGGGCAAUUACCGGAGGAGUUCUUUCCAAGACAACAAGAUGGAUUUCCCUGGGAGCGGCGGUGGCUCAGAGAUGGGCAGGACUCGCGGGCUCUCCUUGCAGCUCCUUCUGGGUGGUCUCGGGGAGGGUCACAGGGCAGGUGGGUGCCGGAGGGGUUGGAGUCCUACAGUACCUCUUGGGGAGCUAAGACACACUCCUGCUGGUUUUUGGGUUUAUGUUUUCUGGGCCUUGGUUCCCUGCUGUGAGCCAUUUCCCGUGGCAGAAUGGGGAGGGGAAUCCAGACGUGUGGGCAAAGCCCAUCAUUGAGAUGCUCCACAGGAAGUCCCGGGGUGGCUCUGUGCUCCAGGAAAAUAAUGUCAAAGCGUGGUGACUUCCCGUUUCCAUCUAGAUGUAGUCCAACAGCCGUAGCUUCCUGCCUCUUUCCUUUGAAGAAACCAAUGGUUUUCAGCUAUAGCCUUGGGGGGAUACAGCCCCAUGACCGACUCUUCUAAUUUCUGGUGGUCAGCAGGGUCCGUCCCGCGAUGCACGCAAGGACGAGCAAAGCUAGACAGCGUUUGCCGCCUCCUGAGCCGGGCAAGCCAGCUCGCCCACGUCUUGCUGCGUGUCGGGGACUCCAAGUAAGUAAGUCACCUUUCUAAACGUGCCUGGGACAGCCCCGCUGUCACCCAUCUGACCGUUUGCGAUGUCUGUUGGCUGAGCGUUGGCCUGAAAAUCGCACCGGCGACCUGCGGGCUCCAACCGUGGCUGGCUGUGGUGGCCAGCGAUGUGAGUAGCCCUGCAGGGCUGCAGCACUGAAAACUCACCCCAGACAUUGACUCAAUUCACAAAGACGUUUAUGAGCUGCAAGAGCCGUAUUAUUUGGCCAAGGAAAUGGUUGCUCUAGAGGACUCUUCCACCCAGAGGGUGACAGAGCUGCUUUGUACCUCGCUCUCCAAGCUGCUGGGGAGUCUGUGGGGUAUUAAAGCUGUUGUAAUAACUUUGCAGGCCUUUCCAUGCCCAAGCGAUCAUCAUAACGCUCAUAAAGUAGGCUCUGGUGUGAAGUAUUUAUGAAUUAUUCGACUUAGCAUGGAAAAGAAAAGAAGAAAAGACCUGGCCUGAGUUAAUGGCUCUGGAAGACUAGUAAAUUUACAAGAAUCACAUCGCCGAGGGUUAUAUUGCUCAGGCAAUAAAAGGAACAUUUAUGGCUUUGGUGUGUAAAUUUGGUUCGAAUGUUUUUGAAGC